rnacentral:rRNA from 1 species
GAUGAACGCUGGCGGCGUGCCUAAUACAUGCAAGUCGAGCGAACAGACGAGGAGCUUGCUCCUCUGACGUUAGCGGCGGACGGGUGAGUAACACGUGGAUAACCUACCUAUAAGACUGGGAUAACUUCGGGAAACCGGAGCUAAUACCGGAUAAUAUAUUGAACCGCAUGGUUCAAUAGUGAAAGACGGUUUUGCUGUCACUUAUAGAUGGAUCCGCGCCGCAUUAGCUAGUUGGUAAGGUAACGGCUUACCAAGGCAACGAUGCGUAGCCGACCUGAGAGGGUGAUCGGCCACCCUGGAACUGAGACACGGUCCAGACUCCUACGGGAGGCAGCAGUAGGGAAUCUUCCGCAAUGGGCGAAAGCCUGACGGAGCAACGCCGCGUGAGUGAUGAAGGUCUUCGGAUCGUAAAACUCUGUUAUUCGGGAAGAACAAAUGUGUAAGUAACUAUGCACGUCUUGACGGUACCUAAUCAGAAAGCCACGGCUAACUACGUG